rnacentral:misc_RNA from 1 species
AACGCAAUUUGCGCCCGAGGCCUUGGUCGAGGGCACGUCUAGUCUGGGCGUCGCAUCCCAUUCAAACGUGCUCCCUGCAAUAGUGCUAGGGAGCAGCGGAGCUGGUCAUCGGUGCCCCGUGCAGUGCAGUCAGCUGAAAUACCUCAAGCGAUGUUUCGUGGCGUGCGUCGGCGAGCGAUGAUCUUGUCCCCUUGGAUGGGCAGUCGACGUUAGCCGAUGCGGGCUUUUUGUGGCAUCGCUCAAACUUUCUUUUCUCUCUCUUGUCCUCUCCUGGGGUAGGGCGCAUUUAGCUCCAACUUUGCGACCCCAGCUCAGGCGAGAACACCCACUAAGUUUAA